AAUAUUUUAAAAAUUUCAAUAAAAAAUGGAUUAUUUUUGUAAAAAAUUCUAAACCGAAACAAAAUCACUAAAAUUAAUAAAAAAAACUAGAAUUAAAAUGAAAUAAGUGUGAUUAAUAAGGGAUUAUGAGACUAUGAGGGUGUGCAGAAUGAAGAUAGGGCACUGAACCAUAGGUUUGUUUGCUUAGGGUCUUCUGCCCAAGUCUCAAAAAACCUAAACCAGGUAUAACACUGUCCAGAUCCAUGCCCCCGUUCGCUCAUGCUUAAUUAGGUAGAAACUCCUCAUCCCGCAUACGCCUACCAACAUGAACUCCGGUUUCCUAUCCAAACCAUUCACGUUCCCAAGAACGAAAUCGUGAUGUUCAUCCUCAUCGGAAUGCGAAACCUCCGAGAGGUUAGGGGUUUUCAUCUGGCGUGAACAACAGGUCAAUCACGACUCCGAUUUAGGUUUGCUUGCUUACACCUCAACCACACGGUCUCCAUUAAAACGCCCUUGCCAAGAAUGAUUUGAUUUGCCAAGAAUGAUUUGACGUGCUUAGGGGGACCUCAACGAAGCGGCGAUGGAUUGACUCCUCUUACCCAGAAAAAACCAGAAUAACGGUGAGUCCACAAGAGAUUUCAACGUUGAAACGAAAUCGGAUCAGAAAUGAAUGCAUAACAAAAUAGAAGAAGCAUUACUUACCAGAUUCGAACGAGGCUCCAUCUGGUUAAUCUAGUUAGGUUGUUGAAGCGGCAUUGUUACGAGGUUGAAGUUUUGAGGUCGUUCUUGGUGGUUAGAAGAAGAAGGUCCCUUGGAAGAUGGAUUUUCGCAACAUUCUGUUUUACGAAUUUAUGUUGCAGGUCCUUGGAGAAUGAUGAGGAGGUUGGCAGAGGAUGAAGAUGGAAGGUGAUGCGUUGCAGUUGUGAAGUUACAGUCAAUCGAUCGUAAGGUUCAGAAGUGAAGAAUGGAUGAAAGGAUUUUUCUGGUGCAGGAUUGGUGCGGAACUGCGGAAAACUGGUGCAGAAGUGGAGAUUGACGAUGGAAUUAUAGAAAGGAAUUUGAGAUUGUAAUUGCAAGAAGAUUGAGGAACGAAAUGAAGAGUUAAGAAAGAGAUCAAAGAAUUGAAAAAAAUGCAGAAGAUUGGAAGGUGAAGUAUUAUUUAUAGCAUUCCAAAAUUGGUUAGAAAUUCAUCUCAAACUCAUCUGAAAUUCACCACAAAUUAAUCAGUUUGUUAGAAAUGAAAAUUGUUAGUUAUAGAUUAAAAUGAAAUUGAAAUUGAAAUGCACAAAGUGGAUUCCAAAUUGUGGCUUUGUAAAUGAAUUGCAGUGGUUCUGUUAAAUGAAUGUGGGAGAAGUUCUAGAGCCAGCUCAGAUUUGAUUUUCGGUUGGAUUUGUUAUUUAUUGUCGAAAUGAAAACUUGCAAGAUGCCAAAUUUGGGAGAUUUUGAGCUGGUUGGUGCGUUUGAUACAUGUUAACGGGGCCCGAUUGGUGUUGGAUUGAUGUCAAUUUCUUGUUCUGAUCUGUUACUUGGAAAUUCUGCAGGUAGAGUUCAGUUUGGACUUGCAUAUAUGUUCACUCAUUCUACAGUAGGGUUCAAGUGACAUAGAUAUUUAAAAUGUAUAUUAUGUUAAAUGGUUAUUUGGUUGUCUAAAUGGAUAUUUGUUAUAUUAAAUGGAUAUUGAUUAUAAAA